GGCUGGGUAGCUCAGUGGUUUGAGAGCCAAGCCUAGAGGUGGGAGGUCCUAGGUUCGAAUCCAGCCUCAGCCA
rfam:Monodelphis domestica chrTn_v05.000535 genomic scaffold, whole genome shotgun sequence.